rnacentral:rRNA from 2 species
UUGGUGUGAAUUGCAGAAUCCCGCGAACCAUCGAGUCUUUGAACGCAAGUUGCGCCCGAAGCCAUCAGGCUGAGGGCACGCCUGCCUGGGCGUCACGC